rnacentral:pre_miRNA from 1 species
GAAGUACUUCCUCCGUUCCGAAUUACUUGUCGCACGUAUGGAUGUAUCUAGAAUUCUAGAUGUAUUUUAGUUCUGGAUACAUUCAUGUCUGUGACAAGUAAUUUGGAACGGAUGGAGUAGUAU